GCAAACAGAAUUUAAUUCAGAAUUAAAAUGACAGUUCCUUUGCCUUCAUUAUUAUUAAUUAUGCUGUGGUUCCUUCUUCAUGCAGUGUAAAGAUGCAUAUUUGCAUGAACAGUAUUUCUGAUGUAUAAUUUUCCAAUCAUCUGCCAUCAGAAUAUGUAUGCAUUAUGAUUCAAAUAUGAAUUAUUUAGGAUCUCCCCCCAAAUAUAUCCAGAAUGCCCCGAGUUAAUUUAUGUGGCUAAAUAAUUAAUAUACGUGCUUACGGCGCCCCUCCCCCUUAAAAGAAAGAGCAUUCAGUGUCUGCUGCUCAGCAACUGAGGCCCUUGGAGGAGACUCUGUCUUUGCCCAAUAGUUUCCCUGGACUUUUGUGACGUGGAGAAUGGAACAGGAGGCAGGGAGGGAGCCAUGGAGUGGACGGCUAUGGUUUUACCUGCAGAGCAUGCCUUUGCCAUUGCCUCUGGCGCCUCCAGUCCAGAUCUGGGUCUCUCAAUUUUUGAUGUGAACAUGUGCCCCAGGUCUAGGCAAUCAGAGGGCUCCAUUUAACUGGCCACUGUGAUCGGUCAGGGCUGGGCAUAUGACCUAAACCGGGCCAAUCAGGAUUCACUUCCUACCUCCCGCUGCUGAAACUGUCAGCGACACUGCUUUCUUGGAACUGUGCCAGCGCCCUUUGCCGCCACGUGGAGAGAGGGAAGCCCUCACCGAAAGUAGCAGAGAGCAGGAAAGAGUAACCGAUUCUGACGGCGUCCUCCAGCAUGCACCUUUGCUGGCGUCCAGCUUCUGUCUUGAAGGUGGAAGAGAAAAGGGAGUGAGUGAACUAUGCAAAAGGAAAUUCCUUCCACUUAAGAAAAAUGGACACAGAGUAAGUAAUUGGAAGGAACUUUGUGUGAACUGUAAAGAGAGUUGGUGUCCAAUUCAUAUGUUCUUUGGACUGAUAUACAUGGGGCACUCAGCAGAUGCCAUCCUAGGCACCAAGGAUGCAGUGGUGAACCAGUGGGACAAAGUCUUUACCUUCAUGGAACUCACAUUCUGUUUGGAGAAACAGACAAUACAUAAACCAAUAAAUGUAUAAAAAAAAUUAGUGGUGUCAGGAAACAUUGUAAGAGACUUUGAAAUAGGCAAAAACAAACAAACAAAAAAUCUCCCCCAAAUUGGAUGUCCUUUGGAAUUCUGGCCGUUGUUAAGAGGACCCUUUUAGGUUGUCUGAUUCUACAGGGUUCUGUGCCUUUCUUUGUCUUUGAGCUAUUUUGCAACUCAGUAAUUUGUAUAAAACUGAUAAUAAUGCAAACGAUUCUUGCGCAUAGAGAUGCAAAUGAACUUUGUCCAGUGGAAAUCCAGUUGAUGUCUGCCCAUGGAAGACAUGGUUCCAAACAGUGCGUUAUACGUCCUGUGGACACUGACCUGUUUUGCAUGUAUUAGCAAUUUUAUUUCAGCCUUCCUGACUACCCAAAUGGUCUUGCUUUUUUGCCCGGGCUGGAAUGCGGUGGCUACUCACAGGUGUGAUCACAGCACUCUACAGCUGCAAGCUCCUGGGCUCAGAGGAGGUCCGCCCACCUGAGUAAUCUGAUUAGCUGGGACUACAGAUGCACCCCACCACGCCUGGAUAUCGCCCCAGCAAUUGAAAAGAUUGGAAAGUAAUUGAAGGAAUAGCUCUGUGCUGAUCUUGUCUGAAGGUCUAUGCUGGGCUCAGCAGGGCGGUUCUGCUUCAGGCUGGGUGGUGCCCCACAUGUUCCUCAUCCCCCUUGGACCGGUGGCUACCUGGGGCAUGUUCUUCUCAAGGUGCCUAUGGGAGCUCCAGAGGCCAAGUUAGCACAUGGAAGGUCCUGCUCACCUGACAUUUGCUAACACUGCACUGGCCAAAGCAAGGCACAUGACCAAGCCCAACAUCAGUGGGAUUGGGAAGUGAAUCCCACCCACGGUGGAAGGCCCUGGAAAGUUACUUGGUGCUCACAGAUUAGUGAAAAACUACAUAUUAUUUGUGUUAUUCUGUAAAUCUCUGUUCACUUAAUGCCUUACAGCUGCUCAUCUGGCUCAGCAGGUACAGAUUUAACUGGUUCUUUUUAUUUUAUUUUAUUAUUUUUUUUUAGAGACAGGGUUUUACUCUGCCACCCAGAGUG